UGUUGAACUGGUUCAUUUAACAUCUAUGGACGAGAUGUUCCACAUGACAUUUUUCAGAAGAGGCCUAGCUGAACCGCUGCAAUCGAUUAUGCCACUGCAUGAUCCAAACUGGACACUGGAGUUUUACAUAGAUCUGGCACUUCAAGUAAGUGGCUCUGCCUUAACUGUGGGUGUUGUGGAUGAGGAACACCACAGUCCUGCAGUAUCUCCCACUCUAGAGAGUCUUACCAAGAUGGCUGCCAGUCGAGAAACGUUCCACAAAAUGGCUGCCGUUCCAGAGUGUCGUCACAUCAUGGCCGCCAUUCCAGAGAUUCAUCACGACAUGUUCGCCAGCCCAGAGCCACUGCGCAAGAUGGCCGUCAGCCCAGCACCACUGCACAAGAUUUCAGAGUCAAGUCAGGUCCCCGUCGAUCUUCCAGAGCCUAGUCAGGUCCCCAUCGAUCUUCCAGAAUAAAGGUCCAGUCAAGUCACCGCUGACCGUUCAGAGUCAGGUCAAGUCACCAUUAACCCCCAUGAGUUAAGUAAAACCACAGUUAAACUUCAUGAGUCAAGUCAAGUCAACGUCGAUCUUCAUGAACAAAGUCAAGUCACCAUUGGUCUUCAUGGGCAAGGUCAAGUCGCCACCAAUCUUCAUUAACUAAAUCAAGUCACAGUGGAUAUUUAUGAGCCCAGUCAAAUCACCACAGAUCUUCCAGAUAUUCAACACGUCUCAGCUGAACUUCUAAAGCCUUGUCACGUCUCAGCUGAUCAUCCAGAGCCUCAUCUCAUCCUGUCUGCUGAGCCCAGCAAUGUUCUCUCAGCCUGUUGUGUUGCUGUCAAGAAGACUGUUACUGCUGUGGAACCAUCAGAGGUGGCGGCAACUGCUGCAGAACCUUCGGAGGUGUCAGUAUUAUCCAUCCAUGAACUCCCGUCGUGUCCUGUCACGGCUAUGGAGGCCGUCUAUGAACUCAUUGCCUGUCCUGUCAUGGCCACGGAGGCCACCAACCAACUCACUGUCUGUCCUGUCACAGCCACGGAGGCCAUCCAUGAACUCCCCGCCUGUCCCGUCACGACCAUGGAGGCCGCCUAUGAACUCUCGUUCUGUUCUGUCAUGGCUAUGGAGGCCGUCUAUGAACUCUCGCUCAUUCCUGUCAUGGCUAUGGAGGCCAUGUGUGAACUUUUUUAUAUGCCUUAUCAUGGUCACAGAGGCCACCAUUAAUCUGUUUAUGUUAUCUGUUCCAGUCCCUCCUAACCUGACUUGCUCUCCUGUGCAAUUGACUACACUGUCACGGUCCUCUGCUCCGCCCUGGUGGGCUUCUGUCUCGUCUGUUUGGCUGUGGUGGUCCUCUGCUCUGCACUGGUGGGCUUCUGUCCCAUCUGCUCGACUGUGGUGGUUCUCUGCUCCACCCUGGUGGGCUUCUGUCUCGUCUGCUCGGCUGUGGUGGUCCUUUGCUCCACCCUGGUGCGCUCCUGCUCCCCUUGCUGCACCCUGGUGGGUUCCAGCUCCACCUGCUUUGCCCUGGUGGGCUUCAGCUCUCCUCCUGGUGGGUUCCAGCUCCACUUGCUCUUCCCUGGUGGGGUCCAGCUCUGCCCGGUGAGCUCCUGUUCCCCUGUUAAGCACAGGAAGGGCUCCUGUUCCCCUUUUUAAGCCCAGGAAGGGCUCCUAUUCCCCAUGUUAGGCCCAGGAAGGGCUCCUGUUCCCCAUGUUAGCCCCAGGAAGGGCUCCUGUUCCCCAUGUUAAGCCAAAGAAGGGCUCCUGUUCCCCAGUUAAGCCCAGGAAGGGCUCCUGUUCCCCAUGUUAGGCCCAGGAAGGGCUCCUGUUCCCCAUGUUAGCCACAGGAAGGGCUCCUGUCCCCCAUGUUAAGCCCAGGAAGGGCUCCUGUUCCCCAUGUUAGGCCCAGGAAGGGGUCCUGUUCCCCAUGUUAGCACCAAGAAGGGCUCCUGUCCCCCAAGUUAGGCCCAGGAAGGGCUCCUGUUCCCCAGUUAACCCCAGGAAGGGCUCCAGUUCUGCCUGAUCCACCCUGGCUUCCAGCUCUGCCGGCUCUGCCCCGGCCACUCCAUUUCCACACGGACCUUGCCCUCCAUCCUUCCGUCUCUCCCCCUGU